AUUGCCCAUGUCGUGUGAGUGAGCCCCAACCCUAACAAGUUUGGACCUCCACCCCUUCUACGUGUGAGACAAUGUUUCAAGCUUAGUCAUUCAAUUGCCUUUUAAGUGGGUUCUCAUAUAUAUACAUAUCACACACUUGAUAUUUAACCAACGUGGGAUCUAAGCUUUUCUUUUUCUCAAAAAAUAUUUAUAAAUAGCUUAUGUAAAACCCAAAUUCUGCUCGGGCCCAUUAAAACCAAAUUAUAAUAAACCAAACAUAAAAGUCCAUUUACACAACCCAAAAAUCAAAUCCAUUACAUCAAACCCAAUUACAGGCCCAAAUGCCUAACACUAACCCUAACAAAAAAAAUUCAUAAAAAACCUAGCUUCUGGAACAGUCCGCGCCGCUCUCCCCAUGCACAGCAGCCACGAGCAUCUUUCCCACACGCGCCUCCACUCCAGCUGGCUGUACCUGUAACGAACACAACAAACAGAAAAAGAAAGCAGGCAUAACAGAAAACACAACAAAUAAUAGAGAAAAAAAUAUAUAAAACAUUUUUCUGUAAUUUCUUUUUUAAUUUAUUCGGCUAUAUAAAGCCGAUUGUAGCGCUAUAGAACGGAUGGAAAAAUUUUUUUUCAAAGAGAAAUCUAAGAAGCAAAAAGAGAAUCAAAGUUUUUUAAGGUGAUUUGAGGUUUUUUUUUUCUCGUUGCUUUUCUUUCUGUUAUUUAUUAUAGGGUAAAAAAAAAGAUUGAAAAAGAAAGAAAUUACCUGGGGGUGUCGAAUCCUUGCUCACUCCGUCGCGAUCGGGGUUUGGGCAGGGGAUCGAUUAACUUUGGAGCAGCCAAUUUUCAGAACAGCGUUUUGGAGGCGGAUGUUUAGUUUUUUUUUAAGUUUGUUUAAAACUGAUAGCUGCUAAUUUUAGGGUUUUAAAAUGGUUAUAUACGGUGUAAGAAACGACGCCGUUUAAGGCCUGCUUCAGUGGCCUCAAAACGACGUCGUAUAAGGCCUGUGACCUGCGUGUUGACCCGACCCGAGGAGAGGAUCCGCUCGUUUUGCAGAUAUUGGGAAAUUUUCGCAUUUGGUCCCCCCUUUUCCGUGGCGUAUUCAAAUCAGUUUUUUUAAUUUCGCCCUGCAUUUUGUUUUUGUUUCAUUUCGGCCCAAGUUAUAAUGCCGCGUUUUGGAGGGACGAGGAUUAUCUCCCACUUGGUCCCCCAAGUUAUCCGCGAAUUACAUUCGGCCCCUUUGCUUUAUUUUAUUUUCAUUUUUUUCUUUCAAUUUUGUUUUUUAAUUUAAUUUAAUCCUUGCCUAUUUAAUGUGCUUGAUUUUCUUUAAAUUUUCUUUAAAU
rnacentral:lncRNA from 1 species